AAAACAAAGAUAUCUAUUCUAGUUCUAUCAUCGGCUAUGGGUUCGAAUCUAAGAGAAAUUCUAGGUAAUGUUUCCUACCCUAAAAUUUUCUUGUCUUUCCCGAAUGCUAAGGAGAAGAAGAGGAUUGAGUCAAAAUAAAAAGCUAUUUUGGAGUUUUAUCAACAAUUUGCUUGUGUAGGUGGGGACCUGGUAUUUUCGGAGUCCUUAUGCGAGGAAUUACAAAAGAAUUUUUUUCAACAAAAAUGUGAAUUAGGAAGGAUUGGUCGACGAAAUAUGAAUCGGAGACUUAAUCUUGAUAUACCUUAGAACAAUACAUUCUUGUUACUACGAGAUGUAUUGGCCGCUACGGAUCAUUUGAUUGGAAUGAAAUUUGGAACGGGUAUACUUGACGAUAACGAUAUGAAUCACUUGAAAAAUAAACGUAUUCGUUCGGUUGCGGAUCUGUUACAAGAUCAAUUCGGAUUGGCUCUUGGUCGUUUACAACAUGCAGUUCAAAAAACUAUUCGUAGAGUAUUCCUACGUCAAUCGAAACCGACUCCCCAAACUUUGGUAACUCCAACUUCAACUUCAAUUUUAUUAAUAACUACUUAUGAGACCUUUUUUGGCACAUACCCGUUAUCUCAAGUUUUUGAUCAAACGAAUCCAUUGACACAAACUGUUAAUGGGCGAAAAGUGAGUUGUUUAGGUCCUGGAGGGUUGACGGGGAGAACCGCAAGUUUUCGGAGCCGAGGUAUUCAUCCGAGUCACUAUGGGCGUAUUUGUCCAAUUGACACGUCUGAAGGAAUCAAUGUUGGACUUACUGGAUCCUUAGCAAUUCAUGCGAGAAUUGAUCCCUUGUGGGGAUCCAUAGAGUCCGUUUUAUGA
rnacentral:rRNA from 1 species